UACGGAGGGUGCGAGCGUUGUCCGGAAUCAUUGGGCGUAAAGGGCGCGUAGGUGGCCACUUCAAGCGUGCGGUGAAAGUCGGGGGCUCAACCCCUGAUCGGCCGUGCGAACUGGGGGGCUGGAGCACUGUAGAGGCAGGCGGAAUUCCGGGUGUAGCGGUGGAAUGCGUAGAGAUCCGGAAGAACACCGGUGGCGAAGGCGGCCUGCUGGGCAGUUUUGCUGACACUGAGGCGCGACAGCGUGGGGAACAAACAGG
rnacentral:rRNA from 1 species